rnacentral:rRNA from 1 species
CUACGUGCCAGCAGCCGCGGUAAUACGUAGGUGGCGAGCGUUGUCCGGAAUUAUUGGGCGUAAAGGGAGCGCAGGCGGACAUAUAAGUCCAUCUUAAAAGUGCGGGGCUCAACCCCGUGAGGGGAUGGAAACUGUAUGCCUUGAGUGCAGGAGAGGAAAGCGGAAUUCCCAGUGUAGCGGUGAAAUGCGUAGAUAUUGGGAGGAACACCAGUGGCGAAGGCGGCUUUCUGGACUGUAACUGACGCUGAGGCUCGAAAGCCAGGGGAGCGAACGGGAUUAGAUACCCCGGUAGUCCUGGCCGUAAACGAUGAAUGCUAGGUGUAGGAGGUAUCGACCCCUCCUGUGCCGGAGUUAACGCAAUAAGCAUUCCGCCUGGGGAGUACGGUCGCAAGACUGAAACUCAAAGGAAUUGACGGGGGCCCGCACAAGCGGUGGAGUAUGUGGUUUAAUUCGACGCAACGCGAAGAACCUUACCAGGGCUUGACAUUGAGUGAAAGAGCUAGAGAUAGCUUCCUUC